CUGCAGAUGGAUCAUUU
rnacentral:rRNA from 3 species